rnacentral:rRNA from 1 species
UACAGAGGGUGCGAGCGUUGUCCGGAAUCACUGGGCGUAAAGGGCGCGUAGGCGGCUUGAUAAGCGUGCGGUGAAAGCCCGGGGCUCAACCCCGGGUCGGCCGUGCGAACUGUCGAGCUGGAGCACUGUAGAGGCAGGUGGAAUUCCGGGUGUAGCGGUGGAAUGCGUAGAGAUCCGGAAGAACACCGGUGGCGAAGGCGGCCUGCUGGGCAGUUGCUGACACUGAGGCGCGACAGCGUGGGGAGCAAACAGG